rnacentral:rRNA from 1 species
AGUGAACGCUGGCGGUAGGCCUAACACAUGCAAGUCGAACGGCAGCACAGUAAGAGCUUGCUCUUACGGGUGGCGAGUGGCGGACGGGUGAGGAAUACAUCGGAAUCUACUUUUUCGUGGGGGAUAACGUAGGGAAACUUACGCUAAUACCGCAUACGACCUACGGGUGAAAGCAGUGGAUCGUCGGACCUUGCGCGAUUGAAUGAGCCGAUGUCGGAUUAGCUAGUUGGCGGGGUAAAGGCCCACCAAGGCGAGGAUCCGUAGCUGGUGUGAGAGGCUGAUCAGCCACCCUGGAACUUGGACACGGUCCAGACGCCUACGGGAGGCAGCAGUGGGGAAUAUUGGACAAUGGGCGCAAGCCUGAUCCAGCCAUACCGCGUGGGUGAAGAAGGCCUUCGGGUUGUAAAGCCCUUUUGUUGGGAAAGAAAAGCAGCAGGUUAAUACCCCGCUGUUCUGACGGUACCCAAAGAAUAAGCACCGGCUAACUUCGUG